AUCGCGGGAAAACGUCCCUCAGACUGUGGACGUGACAGUCGCGCUUCAAGCAGUGAAACUCACAUCAAACAAUGAAUGAAUGGUGGUAAGAGUCAAAGCAGAGGAUUAAAUCAUUGGAAAGAUGCUGCUCAUCAUGUGAGGUUGGGGAAGGAUAAAGACAUGCUUAUGUGGAGGUACAUCAGUGACAUCAAAGAGUGUGUCAUGUGGAGGAGUUGACCUUCUCUCCUGUAACAAACAUGAAAAAGCAAAGUCUCUUCAUGAGCCAUUAUCUUUGAAUUCUGAACAGAGUGAGCUUCAAAGAGCGCCUCCAUGAGCCUGUGGCUUUAACCAACACAAACAGAGCUGUCUUCUACAGAGCCCGUCGCUUGGACAAACACAAACAGAGUUGUUUUCUACAGAGUACCUCUAUGAGCUCGUCACUUUGACAAACACAGAGUUGUCUUCUACAGAGCACCUCCAUAAGCCAGUCGCUUCGGCAAACACAGAGUUGUCUUCUACAGAGUACCUCCCUGAGCCCGUCACUUUGACCAACACAGAGGUGUCUUCUACAGAGUACCUCCAUGAGCCAGUCACUUUGUCAAACACAAACAGAGUUGUCUUCUACAGAGUACCUAUAUGAGCCCGUCACUUUGACAAACACAAAGACUUGUCUUCUACAGAGAACCUCCAUAAGCCAGUCACUUUGUCAAACACAAACAGAGUUGUCUUCUACAGAGCACCUCCAUAAGCCAGUUGCUUUGACAAACACAAACAGAGCUGUCUUCUACAGAGUACCUCCAUGAGCCAGUCGCUUUGACCAACACAGAGUUGUUUUCUACAGAGGAAAUAACAGGUGAAUCUUGACAGAAAUCCAGGAAGCCAGACAGUGAUGGUGGUGAUGGCUCUAGCACUGGCAGAACAACCUACAUGAGAAGACCAUGGACAAAAGCAGACGUGAAGGCUGUAAUGAGUUCAAAAGACUGAUUAUUAUUGUACACAUUUUCUUUUUUUUCCCUUGUCACAGAGUGACAAUAUUUAACUAUUUUCAAACAUGUAAAUAAAAAAUAAAAAAACAUGGCCCAGGCCCACUUCUGUUCCAUGCCAGUGCUUCACAGUCCAUCAUCACUCUAGGGCAGUCUCUACAUUGCUCUACAGAUUGCCUCUGCUUCUCAACCCAUGUCUGCCACUACUCCACAGUCUGGUACUGCUCCACAGUCCAGGUCCACGUCUGUUUCAUGAGCCUGGGCAAUACCCAUCACACAAAAACCCAUAACCCACAAAUGCAGUCCCUCAGACUGAACAUUUACAACAGUGUUGAGUAGCAAAAAGACAUGUUUUUUGUUUUUUAUUUACAUGUUUGAAAAUGGUCAAAUAUUGUCACUGUGACAAAAAAAGUGAAAAUGUGUAUGAUAAUAAUUAGUCACAUUAUAACACAUUAUAUUACUGUCACAUUACGAAAUUUAGUUUUUAAUCUGUUUUGUGUUCAUAUAAUUCUGUAUGUAUCAUUCAAUUU
rnacentral:lncRNA from 1 species